rnacentral:rRNA from 1 species
CACGUAGGGAGCGAGCGUUGUCCGGAAUCAUUGGGCGUAAAGAGCUCGUAGGCGGCUCAGUAAGUCGGGUGUGAAACCCUCAGGCUCAACCUGGGGACGCCACCCGAUACUGCUGUGGCUAGAGUCCAGUAGGGGAGUGUGGAAUUCCCGGUGUAGCGGUGAAAUGCGCAGAUAUCGGGAGGAACACCAGCGGCGAAGGCGGCACUCUGGGCUGGAACUGACGCUGAGGAGCGAAAGCGUGGGUAGCAAACAGG